rnacentral:rRNA from 1 species
UACGGGGGGGGCAAGCGUUGUUCGGAAUUACUGGGCGUAAAGGGCGCGUAGGCGGCCUACUAAGUCGGACGUGAAAUCCCUCAGCUUAACUGGGGAACUGCGUCCGAUACUGGAUGGCUUGAGUUUGGGAGAGGGAUGCGGAAUUCCAGGUGUAGCGGUGAAAUGCGUAGAUAUCUGGAGGAACACCGGUGGCGAAGGCGGCAUCCUGGACCAACACUGACACUGAGGAGCGAAAGCCAGGGGAGCAAACGGG